GCCGCUCAGCCUGCGGUUGUGGGCCGAGCCCAGAGUACCUUCCCGGGAGUGGGGGCGAGCCCUUCGAGGGGGCGCAGAGCCCUGGGACGCCCGGGGGAGGGGCGGAGGUGGAGGAACGCUUGACCUGGCUGGCGACCCACACCCAUCCGGCGGUGCAGCACUUUCCUCCGCCCCCAGUUACACACGCACUCACGGGGGCGGGUGGGGGGAGCAGUGGCUGUGCAAAGCCCCGCGCUGCCACCGCGGCGGGAGGGAUGCGCCAGCUUUUGGGUCAACGUGCCCCCCAGAAUGAGGGAGAAAGUGCUUUGCUCUUCGGGCCUGCCCCGUUCUUCUGUCCACGUUAGAAGAGUUUUUGUUGUUCUGCAGCUGUAUGGGACUGACCUUAAACUUUCCCCGACCUCUUCUCGAGACCCUGGGGCUCGGGUCGUGGUGGCCACCGGGGAUCGAGGAUCCAAAUAUAUGGAAAAGAAGGAACUCCAGUGCCCAGCUUAUCUCUACCCUGCUUUUUAGAAACAGACUAUAAAUUCCCAGGAGGUUUCGGGAGUUCACGUCUGCACUCACCAGCUAACCUUUGGGAAAAACCUUUUGAUUCGGGGUCCUGGUGUACUUAAAGGCUAGUCCCUGAAGGUGCGCGUGAUGGAAAAAAGGGCUUCCACCCCAGUCGCGCCCCAAGAUGCUCUCCAAGUUUUGGUGUCCCGUUUGCUCUGAGCUUAUCCUGGAGAAUUUCAGCUUGUUAUCUAGGCCACCCAUGACCGACGAAAGAUCUUCCCUCCCGGCUUCUCCCAAGGCCGCUUUAACCCAAAUAAAUUUGGCUAUUAAGGGCCAAGAUGCCUGACAAAAGAUCGAAAGGUGUCUAUCCGUGAUCGCUUAAAGAAGCGGAGGAAAAGCUUGUGGCUCUCUGAUCCCGAUAAAGACAUUCCACCCGGCGCCGGCCUCCCUUCCCGCGGCCUGGCUGCGCCCUGACACCCUGAGAUCGCGGCCUCACUGGCGCACACCUCCACGGGCCCGGCGGGACCUGUGUCCGCUGCACCGGGAAUGUGGAGGUCCCCAGGCUGCCUGGGUCCCCGGGUCCGUGGAACUCCAGGCCGGACGGAGCUGGGCUCCCAAAACAGACACCCUGCACUUGCCAGAAAAACUCAACCGAGCUCACUGGGGCCUGAAUUACCGUCCCGUUUUGAUUAUUUUCUGAUGUUGAAUAAUUCUACCUUCCCACCCCCCACUCCCUGGGGUUUUGCCGAGGGGCGAUGUUAUUCCAUAUCUCUGGUUGUCUGGAGCAGCCCUUCUUUGGAACCCCGGUCAGAACCUGAUGGGUGGAACUGGACAGCUGAAUUAGACCGAGGCCAAUGCGGCGGGUGUGGACUCGCAAAUGAAGAGCGUGCAGAGAGAGAGAGAGCGUGUGUGUGCGUGCAGGUGUGCAAGCAAGAAAGGGACAGAGAGAGAGAGAGAGAGAAUCCCAAGGAGGCUCCAUCCGCACUGUCCACGAAGAACCCGACUCGGAGCUUAAACCUGCAAAUCGUGAGAUCAUGACCUGAGCUGAAAUCAAGAAGCACAAGCUGAACCCACUGAAAGAUGCGCCAUCGAGAAGAACAAAUAAGUCCCUAGUUCCCACCUCUUCUGAUUCUCCAGCCGUCCAUCCCUGGAGAUUCUUUCUCAGCCAGGAUGCAAUCUUCAUCACCGGGAGAAUUUGACCCUCUUCUUUGAAACACUUCAGGGUGUGGUGGGGUUUUUGGUCUUUGUUGCUAAGUACGGUUACUUAGAUGCCUCUUGCAAGAGAAAGGGGCUGUUUUCCUCUCGACUUUCUUUUCUACUGAAGUGACUGGAAACAGGUGUACAGAUUGGGACAUGAGAUGGUGUAGAAAUCCUAGUACCGCGGACCAUGCAGGAAGAAUCUCUGGGCGAGGGAAGGGUCGCUCUUGAUUCGCCAGAGUGUCCUACAUCGGCUUGUGUGUCAUCCAGCAUGCGUAGUGCCAAGUUCUGCUUCCUAAGCCUUUCUCUUCCUUAGUGAGUGACAGAGAGGGGAGGUGGAUGAGGUGAGAUACCUUUCUAUUUGGGUCAACACCAGUAAAUUAAUUAAGAGUAAGCAAGGUGUUGCAGGUUGGUUUCCAAAAGAAAUAGUCUGUUAGAAUCAUCUUUUUCUGUUUUCAAUUCAUCAGAGAAACCAUAAAAUCCCUGAGAUUUUGAGCUCUCCAGAUGAUUCUAACAGGCAGCCAGUGUUGAGAACCACUAGUCUCCCCCUCCCAAAUAGACACCUGUCUAUCAAUAAGGCUUUUUUUUUUUUUAGUAGGCUCCAUGCCCAGCAUAAAGCCCAAUGUGGGGCUUGAACUCAUUACCCUGAGAUCAAGACCUGAGCCAAGACCAAGGUUGGACAUUCAACCGACUGAGCCACCCAGGCGCCGUUCUAUAAGGCUUUUGAAGAAAGUGCAUUAAGUCAGUCCCUUUGCUUGGAAUAUAUUCAAAUAGGCACUACCCGAAACUCACUCCACACCCUGGAGCCAGCAUGUUAGAGAAGCAGCUGUCCCUGACAGGGUAUUAGGCACCCACCUCCCUGUUUCCCAUGAAUAUGUUCAUACAGAUGAACUCUGUUGCAAGUUAACUUUAGACCAGAAGGGAGAAAAGCUGUCUCACAAAUCCAGAGAGAUGUGGACGAGCACGGGAACAUUUGCCUCCUGUCCCUGAUCCCCUAGACCGGGAUGCUGAGUACUAUGAGAUAAUUCUGUGUGUAUAAGUUGUAGGUCUUUUACAAGGGUCCUAUUCAUUUGAACCCCACAAUUUUCCCUUUCGGGGAUGCCUUAUGGGUAGGUCUUCAAAUGCAGAAAGAGUCACCAUAUAGGUCACUCCAAGUGACAUAUAUGUACAUAUAUCUCUCCCACACACUCAAGCUUAAUGACAAAAGUCCAGCUAAAUCUGAAUUAAUUAGACCUCAAGGAGGCCAUUUGUCUCUUAAGGAAAUGAGCCUUACACAAAGGCGCAUGCCCCUUCGGAGCUUCUUUGGUGGAAACAGAUUCCCCACCCUCAGACUGGAUGCCCAGAGUGCUGUAGCCUGAUGACCCAGGGGGAUGCCAGUUACCCGUAGGUACAGGGCACCUCCGGUGUGGCCAUAGCAGGCAGGCAACUGCAGGAAUCUGGUCUCCUCACUACGGGGUUCAGCUGUCACACCUGCUAUCUUUAUUGUUUAGAUAUAUUAAUGGUUUUCUUUCAUUCACUCACAUAAAUCAAAGAGGCCCACAUGUUCCAGAUAACUCUAGAUAAAGUGUGGCAGCCAUCCAUCCAAGGCAAGCCAUAGCACAGUGCAGGAAAUGCUCCCUGAACAGCAGCCUCACAUCUCAGACUUUCGAGGAAAUUCCCAAUAUAUUUAUAAAGCAGGUGCCUGCACACAUAUAAUGCUAACUAUCGGUUGACACCAGUGUGAGGGCCUUUCAAUCCUCAGUGGAAAUAGAGCCAUUGAAAAUAUAUACCUGAAAAGAAAUCAGUUUGAUUUAUACGAUCCCUGACAUGUAUUUAGAAGUGUAACAGAAGAGCCAACCAUAUUUGUUUACUAAAAAAUAUGCCAACGGGUACCUGGCUGGCUCAGUCAGUAGAGCAUGAGACUCUUGAUCUCAGGGUGGUGAGUUCAAGCCCCAAGUUGGGCACGGAACCUACUUAAAGACAAAAAAAAGCCAAGAGGCGCCUGCGUGGCUCAG